UACGUAGGGUGCGAGCGUUGUCCGGAAUUACUGGGCGUAAAGAGCUCGUAGGUGGUUUGUCGCGUUGUCCGUGAAAUUCCCUGGCUUAACUGGGGGCGUGCGGGCGAUACGGGCAGACUGGAGUACUGCAGGGGAGACUGGAAUUCCUGGUGUAGCAGUGAAAUGCGUAGAUAUCAGGAGGAACACCGAGUGGCGAAGGCAGGGUCU
rnacentral:rRNA from 1 species